ACGCAGGCUAUCUCUUCCCCUUCCCCAUGCCAUUAAAAUUAAAUAUAACAUUUAUUAAUUUUUUUAAAAAACAUUAAAGAUUUAGAAAACCCAAAACCCUUUUUUUAAAUUCCCUUUUUCCUUAAACAUUUUACCCUUUUGUUUUUAAAAAAAAAAAACCAAAACUUUCUCUUCUUCCUCACUUCCCAGUCGAAGGACUAGAACUCAGCUCUCAUUCGCCGCCUCAUGUGCGGCCGUAAACAGCCAUCGGAAAGCCGAAGUUCUUCCCCUUUUGCCAGCGAAUCGAAAGCCUUUACAAUUAAAAAUCAAAGGCUUUAUAGCCAAAAUACAAGUAGUUUCUGCUGUUUCUUUGUCCAACUUGUUGGCCGUGAAGUUGUGGGGAACGAAGGGCAUGGAGUAUGGGCGCAAACAUGGAGCGGGGCACACAGGGAUAGUGCGUGGAGUGCCGACGUGGGGGUUGCGGCGUGGGUGACCUAGGUUUCUCUAAGUUAGCCAAUUAAACUUAGAUUUUGGGCCAUGGGUAUGGAGCGUGUCUCAUGUAAUUGGGUUAAUAUUUUGUUUUAGGCCCGGGCCAAAAUUAAGUCUUACACCCUAAUUUUAGGAUGUUACAUAUGUAUAGUACAACAAAGUCAAAUCCAAAUAAAAGUUUAAUAAUAAAAUGGAUUUUUACUUUUUAUAAAUAUAUAUAA